rnacentral:rRNA from 1 species
GUCUAUAGCCAUACCACCAUGAACAUGCCCAAUCUCAUCUGAUCUCAGAAGCUAAGCAGGGUCGGGUCUGGUUAGCACUUGGAUAGGAGAAUCAAGUCAAGGUCUGAUUGAUGUAGUUU